UAUAUAUAUAUAUAUAUAUAUACAUACACAUCUUUUUUAUUUAUAUAUUAUUUCUUAUUGAAAAAUUAAAGAGAAUUUUAAUAAAUCCUUAGAAUUAUUGAAACAAGUAAAUAUGUUAUAAUUGGUAAUUGUUUGCAUCAAUUGCGAUUCGAAACCAUCACUAGUCGGGGGUGUUCGAUGACCAUGGGAGCAGUGGCGUCGGCGGGACAAGACGGGAGAUCGAGGAGGGGCACGACCAUUGUUGAACGUCCGGCGGCGCCAGCCACUAGCCAUCACGACUACUACCACCAGUACGACACCGUUACCACCACCAUCAUCGUCAUCAUAGAUGAGAACGGACAACCACCAUCGUCGAGGUGUGCUUAGCGUACAGACUGCGCACACUGUCCUCCCCCUCCUCCUCCUCGUCGUUCCAUCUCCUUCACCUCCCUGAUCUCUGCCACCACCAACCUGUACAGCAUGAUUCCGGCUAUGGUUUUACGUAUGCCUGACUCCUACCUUCUUGCUUAGCUCGCGUGAUUAUGCUCGCGACUCCGUGACUUCGGCUACGGAGUCUCGUUACCGCUUGCCAAGACAAGAACUCGACGCGAUGCGCGGCGCUACGAGUUGAAGAGGAAGAAUCAUGGUCAGAAUAUAGCGGACAACAAUAAGAAUCUUUAAAAUGCAAGUCUUAACGCAAAGCCCGGUACAACGUGUCUCUUCCCUUAAGCACGAACGUUGUUGGAACGUGCUCGAGCUGAAAAUAUGUACAUAAGAAAAUAUCUUUUCUUCGAAUGACGCGUUGGAACGCGUCUACGUUUAAGUCUCAUCAAUGCGUAGGACAAAUCGUUAGUUUCGAAUAACCAUUUAUAUGAUUGCUCCGCACACGAGGAAAGUAUGGGAGUGCCCCUCGAAAAUUAUUCCGUGGAGUGUAUCUUGGCAUCCGAUGAUUGUGCGCCAGAGGCUAGAGUGGUCUCUCGGAGUGCACGUGCGCGUUGCACGUGUUAGCUGUGGGGCGACCCUCCCGAUUCCUGACUGCCUACAGACUGUAACAUCGUAUCAGGGCCACGUCGUGGCUAUAACUAUAUAUACAGCCACUCUGCUUCAUCACGAAUUUUCUCUCUCUAUUUUUCUCUCUUUCUCUCCUCUCUCUCUCUCUCUCUCUCUCUCUAUCUCUUUCUGUCUGUCUCUCUCUCUCUCUCUCUCUCUCUCUCUCGCUCUAUUCAUUGCGAGGGAAUAACACGACGUUAAUUGUAAACGUGCAGGGCUUCUCAAUUGCUAUCAUCCUCAUUUUCAUCGUUCACGCGAGAAAUUUCUUCUUUAUCAUCGUGUUGGCCUCGAGGCGAUAACUUGAUAAAAAGGAAUGAGAAUGAAACGAAAACCUGGGAGACAAGAAUCAGUGCCCAAACUAACGUGAAGAUUCGCUAUUUGCGCAGCUGUUCAAACGGGCCGCGCCGCGAAAAUACUACCUCGUCAUCCGUUUUUAAAAUAUCCAAGUCCUCGAGCGUGCCAUGGCAAACGCUCGAACGUACGCGUUAGGUUAGAGGUACAUACGAUACGAAUCGUCAUUAACGCAACUAGAUACGCAUCUUGACCCCUUUCCGAGAUACUUGUGCUUCAUCUAGGACUCAACUCACAAUCUAGAACAAAUUAUGUUAGAGGCAAGCUUGGAAAUAGAAAUUUCUUUAUUCUUUGCGUGCCCUAGUACUUUUGUUUCACUAUUUGCCGUAAAGUAAAAAAGAAUCUGCUUUUUUUUAUUUUUUUUAUCGUAUUCGAAAUUAGACAUGCAACGUAUCCUGUUUAUUCGAAUAAUAAUAUAAAACCUUGGAUAUUGUUCUUACCUAUGCUGCUGUUUCAAGAUUCUUUCUUUUAUUCAAGAUUUUUCGUUUCAGCGUAACCUACGUCCAAGCGUAAACUACGUUUUAUUUCUUCAACGAGACUACCCGAUGUAGAAGUAUUAUCGUAAAGCAUUGUCAUUGGCACGGAUCACCUUGCAUAGCACUCUCCGACGGAGUGCUUCCUGACGGACCCUCCGCAGGAGGACCGACGGCCCCCGAGAAAGCAAGCGAGGGGGCAGCAAGCGAGUAUGCAAGAGAGUAGGGCUGAUGUUACGUACGAUCGGAGGCGUGCAGGUGUCCGUUCGUUCGUCCGUCCGUCCGUCUAUUCGUCCGUUCAUCGAUGCUACGCUGAGAUCUAAGCCAACACCGUCCAGUCUCGUAGCGAAGGCUACAAACGAUCACCUGUUUAGCCAAUCAAGACACCUGUUCCCUCUCGUAUUCUCUAUGAUUUUUUUCCCAUUCAUUUUUGCAAAAUCAUCGUCUAAAAUAAUCCCGUCGCGAAUUAUAAUUUUUAAAUUCAAAACCUCAUAUAUCGUCAUAUUAUACAUUCCAUGGAUUAUGAUUUUAGCAACGAUUCGUUUUUCCUUCAGACUUUGCUAUUAUUCGAAAAUCGAAUGAAAGAGACCAAAAUAAUUUGGCGUUCUUUAUUAUGUCCUUCAUCUAAAAUUUGUUUUAUAUUAAAAGGAUUGAGAUAACAGAAGUAUGAGGAGAAAAGAAUUGCACAGUUAAGACGGUAAAAGGGGUGGGGUGAGAGAGACACGAGACACCACGAUAAUCUCGCCGGACGUGAGAGACUCGAGACUCAUUCAGUGACGUGGGAACGCGUGCAGAUACCAUUCAUAAGUCGGACCGUACGAGCGAGUACCGGAGAACUCACGAGCGUGUAUAAGCGAUCGUGCGCCCGUACGAACGCGUUCCGUUGUUGAAAGGGUCGAUCGCCUGUCUCGGUUUAUUGUACGAAGUUACCGAAGCGAUACCGAAGGGUCAUGUCGAUGAUGGAUCUCAUCAUGCGCCUCCAACUUUCUUUUUCCAAUACGAUAAUAAUCUAUUAAAUAUAUAUUUCCCAUUAAGUCGGACCUUUUAAAUAAGGAAAAUAAUAAUAUUUUCUUUCAUGAAAUUUCGAUGAAGUGAAUGAUUCAAAAUAAAUACCCAUUGUUAUAAACGUAUAUAGUUCAUUUGUUUGCCUUCAAUGUUGGAUCAUAGCCAUCGCUAGAGCAAAGCGAGAGAGCCACCGAGAGAACCCGCAGCCUUUCCUUCGCGGCUCUCCUCUCUCUCUCUCUCUCUCUCUUUCUCUCUCUCUCUUUCUCUCUCUUUUUCUCGCCAACGAGCGUCGUGGGAUUCGUGGGAGCCUGUUUUCCGUUCUUGCCUCGUUCCAUCGCGAACACGGACCCCAUGUCGUUGUUUUGUGUUGUACGACCACGGAGCUGAGCUCGAAUUUCUGCCAAGAUCGGAGAACGAGUGCCCCCGGGCGACAUCGUCUUUGGACCCUCUCAGAGAAAAAGGGAUUGAAGGAGACUCGCGAGAAUUGCCGAAAUCGUUUCAGCCGAUCGUAGUUCUUUCGCUUUAGUCGUUCACUUCGAAGUUAGGUCCGUGCGAAAAUCGAUAAGAGAAACAGAGAAAAAUAGAUAGAGAGAUAGAGAGAGAAAGAGAGAGAGAGAAAGAGAGGAAGAGAUAGAGAUAGGGAGAAAGAUAUAAGAAGAACGUGGACUAUAUUAACUGUUUUAGAGAGACUAAAAACGAUAGAGAAUGUAUUCUUUGUGCUAAAGAUUCGUUAUUACAUUAUAUGUAACAUUGUUAUAUCAUCUUAAACAUAUAUAUAUAUAUUCGAGGGUAGCUAUGAUCGCAUCUGCACUCGGUAGGGUUCUAGGAACCCUAGCUUUUUUAGGGCUGAGAUCCCUGAGAAAAGCAUAGUAUUCGUCCAGGUGUCGUGAAUAACAGCACCUGGAGGUACUUCUGUUUACCGUUACUUUCGUUUGCGCUCGUUAAAACAUUUCCAAGCUUUCCGUCGAGAAAAGACAAAGCGUUCUUCUUGUUGGCCUCGAUUACUUAUAAACAGUAUUAUAUAUCGAUUGUGAUAAUAUCAUUGGAAUAUGAAUUUCCGAUGAAUUCUUAGAUAAUUUAUGUGUCCGUCUGAAGGGAAAAAAAUUUCGAAAGAAAAUUUUUCCUUUACGAAAGAAAAUGAAAUCUGUGGAUUCUUGACAGACGAUUAGAAGAAAAAAGAAAAAAAAAGGAAAAAAAAAAAUAUGUACACAUAAAAAGAUAUCUUUCGAUUAUAUUAUCGACUUUUUCCGCUGGAUUAACCAAUGAUAAAAGAACACUUGGGUUUGUAAACUUUAUUGCAUUUCCUCUUGAUGAAAGAGAGGGGAGAUAUGGGAAAUACGAUCGGGCCUUUGGGGUCGAGGUCAUCGGGAAAACUCGAGAAUCUGUGCAGGUGUCGGGUGAAUUACGACAGCUGUUUCGUUCCCUUCUUAAUUCUCUUUCUCUCCCUUUCUGCUUGAAGAAACCGAGGUUUUCCAUUUGUAAUUAAUGAAAUUCUUUAAAAGACACCUGUGCGGUAGAGAUGGUCACACAGGUGGCAUUCGACUGUACAACGAUAAAGCCGAGCUCUCGUACAGGUGUACGAGGCAGGUACUCGAGCACUCUGAAUCGGGUACUCGCAUUGGUGAAACGGUACGUUGGUGAAAUCACCGGCUAGGAUGUUUACGACCGUUUUGGCGACCGAUCGCCAACGACGACUUAUCGGUUCGUUCGAGAUUACGUCCGACAACGAGAAAAACGUUUACGAACUCGGUAAAACGAUUUCGUUAAAUUGAGUCCUUUCGUUCGAGCAUUUUGUCAUGAAAUGAUACUUCCAUAAAAGACUCCAUGGGUUUGUCGAGUUUAAUACGUUGAUCUCUUUAUUCUUGAUAAUCUCUCGAAUUACAACGCCAAAGAUAAUUUUUUCCUCGUUAUUGUCCGUGUCGAUGGAGUUGCUGUCGUUAAUAAUAAUUAUCGAUCGUUAAAGAAUUCGAAAGUUUCAAGGAACGAUCGAUAAAGUUCUUUGCGAAUGUCUCCAUUGUUUUCUUCAUUGUUACCAGAUAAAGCAAACGAGUCGUUUCUUUACGGACUGACCUCCUCGAAGGACGACCCGUUUCACCGACCGAAAUGAGCGCUCGACUGUAAAAGAGCGGCCGUUGAGUCACGUCUCUUCUACCGGGACAAUUCGUUACGUUCCACCGGUUUCGAGGUGCGACUAACUUUAAGUUCUAUGAGAAGGUCCGUUCGACCUCCUACCGUGAGAUACGAAGGAAUCUUCUAUGAAAGGAUCCGUAUACACACCUGCUCGUCUUUUCAUAAUAACGUUAAAGAAGAACAAUCAAUUGAUUGAUCUAAGUAUUUCUUGAUUUAAACUAAUAGAAAUUGUACGAUGCGUAGUGACGAUUAGAUAAGACAUUUAUUGCGAAACAUUUUAUCUCGAGAAAUGAUUUCAAGGAUGUAUAUAGUUAGUUUGAUAUAAUAUAUAAUCAAUUUAUUAUAAGAUUAGAAAAUAACAUCUUUGAUCAUAUGGGUAUUAUGCAAACACUUAGAUGGGCCUAUGAGAUUUGGAAUCUGACACGUUUAUUUACAGAUAUCGUUUAUCGCGAUACGUCGAAGAUACAUACAUUUAAAGAUGUAGAGGUCUGUGUAUGUUUUUCUUUCUCACGCAUAAAUCCUGACGAGUUGGA